AUAAGAAACUUUUAUAAAGACAAUUAUUUUUGUUACGAUAUUUAUUCUAAGAAAAUUGUGGAAGAAUAGCAUUAAAAAAAAAGAAAAAUGAAUUAUCCAGUCUUGUUGAGUUUGUGUUUGUUUAUUUUUGCUGCAUAUGGUAUCCCAGUCAAUGAUCAAAAUGAAGAACAUGGUAUCCCGGCCGAUAACCAAAACGAAAAACUAUGUGAUAUACAAGAAGAUGUCCCAAAUGAAGAAAGCGAUAAUCAAAACGAAGAAUCAUAUGGUAUCCCAG